UACGGGGGGGGGCAAGCGUUGUUCGGAAUUACUGAGCGUAAAGGGCGCGUAGGUGGCCUUCUAAGUUGAACGUGAAAUCCCUGGGCUCAACCCAGGAACUGCGUCCAAGACUGGGAGGCUUGAAUCCGGGAGAGGGAUGCGGAAUUCCAGGUGUAGCGGUGAAAUGCGCAGAUAUCAGGAGGAACACCGGUGGCGAAGGCGGGUCUCUGGGCCGAUACUGACGUGGAGGAGCGAAAGCGUGGGGAGCGAACAGG
rnacentral:rRNA from 1 species